rnacentral:rRNA from 1 species
GAUGAACGCUAGCUACAGGCUUAACACAUGCAAGUCGAGGGGCAGCAUGAACUUAGCUUGCUAAGUUUGAUGGCGACCGGCGCACGGGUGAGUAACACGUAUCCAACCUGCCGAUGACUCGGGGAUAGCCUUUCGAAAGAAAGAUUAAUACCCGAUGGCAUAAUUCUUCCGCAUGGUAGAAUUAUUAAAGAAUUUCGGUCAUCGAUGGGGAUGCGUUCCAUUAGGUUGUUGGCGGGGUAACGGCCCACCAAGCCUUCGAUGGAUAGGGGUUCUGAGAGGAAGGUCCCCCACAUUGGAACUGAGACACGGUCCAAACUCCUACGGGAGGCAGCAGUGAGGAAUAUUGGUCAAUGGACGAGAGUCUGAACCAGCCAAGUAGCGUGAAGGAUGACUGCCCUAUGGGUUGUAAACUUCUUUUAUACGGGAAUAAAGUGAGGCACGUGUGCCUUUUUGUAUGUACCGUAUGAAUAAGGAUCGGCUAACUCCGUGCCAGCAGCCGCGGUAAUACGGAGGAUCCGAGCGUUAUCCGGAUUUAUUGGGUUUAAAGGGAGCGUAGGCGGACGCUUAAGUCAGUUGUGAAAGUUUGCGGCUCAACCGUAAAAUUGCAGUUGAUACUGGGUGUCUUGAGUACAGUAGAGGCAGGCGGAAUUCGU